CUCGAUUGAACUUGAGCAGACGUACGCGAAGAAGUCGUCGCACGGGUCUACGCUCGUGUUGAGGUGCCUGGCCAUGAUGUCAUUGUGGCGGCCGUACUCGAUUGAACUUGAGCAGACGUACGCGAAGAAGUCGUCGCACGGGUCUACGCUCGUGUUGAGGUGCCUGGCCAUCUUUUUGACCUCGUCGGGGCAGCAGAACGAGUGUGUCUCUGUGUCGGACGCCUGCUUGCUUCUUCCCUUUCCCACACUUGCGUAGACACUGAAGAACACGAUCGCCAGGAUUAUGGCCACAGACACUGCACCGGCACACCCAGCGAAGAACGCGCGUUGGGAGCUGUUCGUGGGAGGCGGAGCGUUGACGAUACAGGUUGCAGCGGGAGCCACA